rnacentral:misc_RNA from 1 species
CCGAGUUUAAGGGUAGCUUCGGCUGCUCUGACUUCCCAACCCUAUGAUUUGAUGUUUUUCUCAUGUAUCUUCCGGUCUCUGUUCCGACAUGCCGGAAGAUUACCAAUCAAACUCGUCUUGAAACUAUGUCGUCAUCAUUCAAUACCAUAAUUGAAUCA